UUGAGGCUUGAGCCGUCGCAGCAACCUCUUCUUCCCCCCUGCUCCCUGUUCCUUCCUCUUCUCCAGGUCCCAACAAGAGAGAGAGAGAGAGAGAGAGAGAGAGAGAGAGAGAGGUGGGUGUUCUCCUUGGAAGAGGGAGAUGAAGAGAGGGAGGCAGGGCGAUGCACUUUUAUGUUCAGAGUUUUACAGGGCGGGGGCAGAAGCGCGCGCUCGCGUGUAGUACGGUGGGCGGUCAGGCUGCCUCGCUUGGAUGCUGGUCAGUGGAUGCUUCCUUGGCGAGCCUACAAGGCAUCGUGCAGCAUGCGAGCAUGUGUUGUUGUUGUUGCUGCUACUGGUGUAU
rnacentral:misc_RNA from 1 species